rnacentral:rRNA from 1 species
UACGUAGGUGGCAAGCGUUGUCCGGAUUUACUGGGCGUAAAGGAUGCGUAGGCGGACAUUUAAGUCAGAUGUGAAAUACCCGAGCUUAACUUGGGUGCUGCAUUUGAAACUGGGUGUCUAGAGUGCAGGAGAGGUAAGUGGAAUUCCUAGUGUAGCGGUGAAAUGCGUAGAUAUCUGGAGGAACACCGGUGGCGAAGGCGGCUCACUGGACCGGAACUGACGCUGAGGCGCGAAAGCGUGGGGAGCAAACGGG